CCUACGGGGGGCUGCAGUGGGGAAUAUUGGACAAUGGGGGGAACCCUGAUCCAGCCAUGCCGCGUGUGUGAAGAAGGCCCUCGGGUUGUAAAGCACUUUCAGUGAGGAAGAACGCCUGGUGGUUAAUACCCAUCAGGAAAGACAUCACUCACAGAAGAAGCACCGGCUAACUCCGUGCCAGCAGCCGCGGUAAUACGGAGGGUGCGAGCGUUAAUCGGAAUUACUGGGCGUAAAGCGCGCGUAGGUGGCUUGAUAAGCCGGUUGUGAAAGCCCCGGGCUCAACCUGGGAACGGCAUCCGGAACUGUCAAGCUAAGGUGCAGGAAGGGAAGGUAGAAUUCCCGGUGUAGCGGUGAAAUGCGUAGAGAUCGGGAGGAAUACCAGUGGCGAAGGCGGCCUUCUGGGCUGACACUGACACUGAGGUGCGAAAGCGUGGGUAGCAAACAGGAUUAGAUACCCUUGUAGUC
rnacentral:rRNA from 1 species